rnacentral:rRNA from 1 species
UGCUAAGGUAGCAUAAUCAUUUGUCUUUUAAUUUAAGACUAGAACAAAAGAUUUUACAUUUAAAUUAAUAUUUUUAAUUUAUUUAAUUAAAUUAUUUUUAAUGUAAAAAAACAUUAAUUCAUAAAAUAGACGAUAAGACCCUAUCGAACUUUACUUUAGUUAAACUGGGGAAGUGAAAUAAUUAUUACUUUAUUUAAAAUUAAUAUUUUAAAGAUCUAAUAAAAUUAAUUAAUUGAAUAAGUUACCGUAGGGAUAACAGUGUAAUAUUUAUUUAAAGAUCUUAUUUAAAUAAAUGAUUGCAACCUCGAUGUUGACUUAAUAAUCUAAAUUACGCAAUAGUAAAAUAAGAAAGUCUGUUCGACUUAUAAAUAAUUACAUGA